GUCGGGGUACCACAGCGGCCAUGGGGUGGACUGCAGAUCCAUUUAUGGGGGUUCGACUCCCUCCCCCGACUCCA
rnacentral:tRNA from 1 species